rnacentral:rRNA from 1 species
UACAGAGGUCUCAAGCGUUGUUCGGAUUCAUUGGGCGUAAAGGGCGCGUAGGCGGCCUCGCAAGUCAGGUGUGAAAUCCCAGGGCUUAACCCUGGAACUGCAUCUGAUACUGCUUGGCUUGAAUCCCGGAGAGGGUGGUGGAAUUCCUGGUGUAGAGGUGAAAUUCGUAGAUAUCAGGAGGAACACCGGUGGCGAAGGCGACCACCUGGACGGAGAUUGACGCUGAGGCGCGAAAGCGUGGGGAGCAAACAGG